GACGAACGCUGGCGGCGUGCUUAACACAUGCAAGUCGAACGGAAAGGCCCUGCUUUUGUGGGGUGCUCGAGUGGCGAACGGGUGAGUAACACGUGAGUAACCUGCCCUUGACUUUGGGAUAACUUCAGGAAACUGGGGCUAAUACCGGAUAGGAGCUCCUGCUGCAUGGGGGGGGUUGGAAAGUUUCGGCGGUUGGGGAUGGACUCGCGGCUUAUCAGCUUGUUGGUGGGGUAGUGGCUUACCAAGGCUUUGACGGGUAGCCGGCCUGAGAGGGUGACCGGCCACAUUGGGACUGCGAUACGGCCCAGACUCCUACGGGCGGCAGUAGUGGGGAAUAUUGCACAAUGGGCGGAAGCCUGAUGCAGCAACGCCGCGUGCGUGAUGACGGCCUUCGGGUUGUAAACCGCUUUCGCCUGUGACGAAGCGUGAUUGACGGUAAUGGGUAAAGAAGCACCGGCUAACUACGUG
rnacentral:rRNA from 1 species